AACGCGAAGAACCUUACCAGGGCUUGACAUCCUGCGCUCACCUAAGAGAUUAGGUUUCCCAGCAAUGGGACGCAGAGACAGGUGCUGCAUGGCUGUCGUCAGCUCGUGCCGUGAGGUGUUGGGUUAAGUCCCGCAACGAGCGCAACCCUUGCCGUGUGUUGGUCCACAAGACCUCUCACGCGGGACCGCCGGUGACAAGCCGGAGGAAGGUGGGGAUGACGUCAAGUCAGCAUGGCCCUUACGUCCUGGGCUACACACGUGCUACAAUGGAACGGACAACGAGUCGCGAACCCGCGAGGGUAAGCUAAUCUCCUAAACCGUUUCUCAGUUCGGAUUGGAGGCUGCAACUCGCCUCCAUGAAGUCGGAAUCGCUAGUAACCGCAGAUCAGCUACGCUGCGGUGAAUACGUUCCCGGGCCUUGUACACACCGAUAGC
rnacentral:rRNA from 1 species